GUGAUAUUGUCACAUGACCUUUUCUUUAAUUUCUCCCAAAUGGACAAAAAGAAAAUGGUGCAUUUGACCAAAUUUCAGACAGAGGUCUCAAUCCCAUACUCCAGCACAGAGCUGAAUACACUUGGAACACACAAUUAAGUGCCAAGCGGACGUGAGAUUUCCCAAGACUGCAGACCACUGAUGACACCCAAGGGAAUGGUCACCAGCCAAAAUGACUUGAUGAAGAUGGGAAUCCAGAAAUUAUUAGGGUUAAAUGAGGGUUUCCAACUCAGAGUCACUGCAGUGAACAGCUUGGAUCAUCUGGCACAACAUUCCAAAAGGUGCUUACAGUGUGCAGCUUCCCAUGGCUUGUGUUCAAAACAGGAAAAUGACAGCUGGCUACUUCUCCAUUCUUCACCUGGUUACUGGACCUACUCGUCAUGGGUAACGUCAGAAACCUCCAAUGGGGGCCCGUAUGGUACCUGGAGCCCAGGACAAGGUUUCCGAACAUGAAAUGUUCCUGAAAGAGUCUGGUGAUAUUUCCUGAACCUCUGCAGAGGUUUGCAACAACAACUGCACCCAGAAACAUAGAAACGGAGAAAACAGGUGCAGGAGUAGGCCAUUCUCAGCAAGAGGCCCAACAGUCACUUCUCUAGCUUCCCACAGAGUUCUGG